rnacentral:rRNA from 1 species
UUGGAGGGCAAGUCUGGUGCCAGCAGCCGCGGUAAUUCCAGCUCCAAUAGCGUAUAUUAAAGUUGUUGCAGUUAAAAAGCUCGUAGUUGAAUUUCGGGAUCAAUAUAUCGGUCGUGCCAUUGGUACGUACUGGUAUCAUUGGUUUCUCCUUUCUGACGAACCAUGAUGUCAUUAAUUUGGUGUUAUGGGAAGUUAGGACUGUUACUUYGAAAAAAUUAGAGUGUUUAAAGCAGGCUUUAGCUUGAAUACAUUAGCAUGGAAUAAUGAAAUAGGACGUUCGAACCUAUUUUGUUGGUUUCUAGGAUCAACGUAAUGAUUAAUAGGGAUAGUUGGGGGCAUUAGUAUUCAAUUGUCAGAGGUGAAAUUCUUGGAUUUAUUGAAGACUAACUACUGCGAAAGCAUUUGCCAAGGAUGUUUUCAUUAAYCAAGAACGAAAGUUAGGGGAUCGAAGACGAUCAGAUACCGUCGUAGUCUUAACCAUAAACUAUGCCGACUAGGGAUCGGAUGAUGUUAAUUUUUUAAUGACUCAUUCGGCGCCUUACGGGAAAC